CGUGUAGGCGGUUGGUCAAGUCGGGUGUGAAAGCCUGGGGUUCUCAGCCCCAGAAGUGCAUCCGAAACUAGCCAGCUAGAGCGCGAUAGAGGAGGGUGGAAUUCCUGGUGUAGCGGUGAAAUGCGUAGAUAUCAGGAGGAACACCGGCGGCGAAGGCGGCCCUCUGGAUCGUUGCUGACGCUGAGACGCGAAAGCGUGGGGAGCAAACAGGAUUAGAUACCCUGGUAGUCCACGCCUUAAACGAUGGGUACUAGGUGUUCGGGGUGUUGACCCCCUGAGUGCCGCAGUUAACGCAUUAACGUACCCCGCCUGGGGACUACGGCCGCAAGGUUAAA
rnacentral:rRNA from 1 species